rnacentral:rRNA from 1 species
UACGGGGGGUGCAAGCGUUGCUCGGAAUCACUGGGCGUAAAGCGUCCGCAGGUGGGUGUGUGUGUCGGAUGUGAAAGCCCAGGGCUCAACCCUGGAACUGCAUUCGAAACUGCACAUCUUGAGUACGGGAGAGGGAAGCAGAAUUCCUGGUGUAGAGGUGAAAUUCGUAGAUAUCAGGAGGAAUACCUGUGGCGAAAGCGGCUCCUGGUCCGAUACUGACACUCAUGGACGAAAGCGCGGGGAGCAAACAGG